UGUGACCUCAUUGAAUGGUUGUAUCCCAUG
rnacentral:piRNA from 1 species